UUGAAACACCAGUUCCUGUAUGAUUACCAAAGUUAAGCAACAUUGAACCUGGUCAGUACCUAGAUGGGUGAGUGCUUGGGAAUACCAAGUGCUGUAAU